rnacentral:lncRNA from 1 species
UGCUGUUCAUAUGAUUAAGAUAGGUUGUUAUUGAUUUAUUUGUGCUUUUGUAGGUGUUUAAUGAAGGAAGAAUUUUAAUGGAAGAAGGAAAGUAAUUUUGAGGUGAAUAUUUUCACUGCAUAUAUUUUUGUAUUUCGACCAUACCUUUCUCUACAGAACUCCAAAUGAGAUAAUUCUUAAAUCAUUGGAAAGCUAAGAGAAAAAGAUACAACUUUCCUAUUUACCAUUUUAACUAUUUUAGCCUGUAAAAUGGUAAAACACCAUGUCGAAAUUGAAGCACUAUAGCAAUCCUAGAGCAAUUAUGAUUUCUACUAACCAAUUGGUCAAGGCCGCGGCUCACAUAGUCUGAUGUGGAAAUUCUAGUUAGAAUUGACUUCUUUCUUAACCCAACUUGGCUUAAUUUCAAAGCCAUAUAAAAACAACCUUUCGAAAGACUUUUGAAAAAGGAUAACUAAACACCAUAUUGACAGUUGAGAAUCAAGCCGUAAAGUCAUUGAAGCAGAGAAGAAUUUGAAAGAUUCAAGAAGAUUUGGAAGAUCAAGAUUAUAAUUCUUGGGUUCUAUCAUUCUUUUAUUAUUCUCUUAUUUUCUUAGUUUGAUCUGAAUGUUUAAACCUUAUUUGAUGAUGAUGUGUGACUUGAUGAGGAACUAAUUUAUAUAUCUAAGAUUAUGGUUGAACUCAAUACAUAGUCUAAUUUAUUUA